rnacentral:rRNA from 1 species
UCAAGUGAAUAAGAGCAUAAGGCGGAUGCCUUGGCACUGGGAGCCGAUGAAGGACGUGACAAGCUGCGAUAAGCUACGGGGAGGAGCACAUAUCCGUCAAUCCGUAGAUUUCCGAAUGGGGGAACCCACCUAUAGUAAUGUGUAGGUAUUUUCGUAUGAAUCUAUAGUACGAAUAAAGGCAACCCGGGGAACUGAAACAUCUAAGUACCCGGAGGAAGAGAAAGAAAAAUCGAUUUCCUAAGUAGCGGCGAGCGAAAGGGAAAGAGGCCAAACCGUUAGUUUACUAACGGGGUUGUGGAUCACAGCCAUGGUAGAUACAAGUUUAGCAGAAGACAACUGGAAAGUUUGCGACAUAGAGGGUAAUAUCCCCGUAUGCGAAAAAUGAGUAUCACCUAUGUGACACCAGAGUAGGACCGAACACGUGGAAUUCGGUUUGAAGCCGGGGGGCCCACCCCCCAAGCCUAAAUACUACCCAGUGACCGAUAGUGAAUAGUACCGUGAGGGAAAGGUGAAAAGGACCCCGGGAGGGGAGUGAAAUAGAACCUGAAACCUUAUGCUUACAAGCAGAGGGAGCGCAAGUGACCUCGUACUUUUUGUAGAACGGGCCAACGAGUUAUGGUAUGCAGCGAGGUUAAGGUGCUGGAGCACUGGAGCCGUAGAGAAAUCGAGUCUGAAAGGGCGAAAGUUGCAUGCUGUAGACCCGAAACCGGGUGAUCUAUCCAUGUCCAGGUUGAAGUAACUGUAAUAGGUUAUGGAGGACCGAACUUAUAUCUGUUGAAAAAGGUUAGGAUGAGGUGUGGAUAGGGGUGAAAUUCCAAUCGAACUCGGAUAUAGCUGGUUCUCCUCGAAAUAGCUUUAGGGCUAGCCUCGUAGUAAGAUACCUGGGGGUAGAGCACUGAAUGUUCUAGGGGCCUUCACCGGUUACCGAAAACUAUCAAACUCCGAAUACCAGAGUAUCAUCUACGGGAGUCAGACUAUGUGAGAUAAGUUUCAUAGUCGAAAGGGAAACAGCCCAGACCGUCAGCUAAGGUCCCAAAAUAUAGGUUAAGUGGAAAAGGAUGUGGGGUUGCACAGACAGCUAGGAUGUUGGCUUAGAAGCAGCCAUUCAUUCAAAGAGUGCGUAAUAGCUCACUAGUCGAGUGACCCUGCGCCGAAGAUAAACGGGGCUAAAACCUAUUACCGAAGCUACGGAUACUUAAUGUAUGGUAGAGGAGCGUCGUAUACGGGUUGAAGCAGUACUGUAAGGUAUUGUGGACUUUAUACGAGAGAGAAUGUUGGCAUGAGUAGCGCGAGGCAGGUGAGAAUCCUGCCCACCGAAAAUCUAAGGUUUCCUGAGGAAGGUUCGUCCACUCAGGGUUAGUCGGGGCCUAAGCCGAGGGCGAAAGCCAUAGGCGAUGGAUAACAGGUAGAAAUUCCUGUACCACCGAAGGUUGUUUGAAUGAUGUGGGGACACAGGAGGAUAAGCUGAGCACGCCGUUGGUAGAGCGUGUCCAAGCGUCAAGGGAGUAUGGAUAGGCAAAUCCGUUCAUAUAUAUUCUGAGGCGUGAUGGGGUGGUCAAUAGACCGGAAGCAGCUGAUUUCACACUGUCAAGAAAAGCCGCUAAUUAGACCUAAGGUGCCCGUACCGCAAACCGACACAGGUAGAUGAGGAGAGAAUCCUAAGGUGAGCGAGAGAACUAUUGUUAAGGAACUCGGCAAAAUAACCCCGUAACUUCGGGAGAAGGGGUGCCUGCUUCGGCAGGCCGCAGUGAAAAGGCCCAGGCAACUGUUUACCAAAAACACAGGUCUCUGCAAAAGCGAAAGCUGAAGUAUAGGGGCUGACGCCUGCCCGGUGCUGGAAGGUUAAGGGGACGUGUCAUCGCAAGAGAAGCACUGAACUUAAGCCCCAGUAAACGGCGGCCGUAACUAUAACGGUCCUAAGGUAGCGAAAUUCCUUGUCGGGU